GACAGAGGUGCCGAGCGUUAGGCGGAAUCACUGGGCUUAAAGCGUGUGUAGGCGGAUCUGUAAGUACCUUGUGAAAUCCCACGGCUCAACCGUGGAACUGCUUGGUAUACUGCGGGUCUUGAGCCACCUAGGGGCAAGUGAAACAAACGGUGGAGCGGUGAAAUGCGUAGAUAUCGUUUGGAACGCCAAUGGUGAAAACAACUUGCUGGGGGUGUGCUGACGCUGAGACACGAAAGCCAGGGGAGCAAACGGG
rnacentral:rRNA from 1 species